rnacentral:lncRNA from 1 species
UCAGAGAGAGAUAAACUUUCAGACUGUUCAAAGGCAGGCCUGGGGGCAGAGUCAGGGCCAGCAGGCAGGCAGACAGCCAGCUAUGCAGAGGGGGAGUGGCUGUCAUGGGGGCCGGUAUGGCAUGGAGCCCGUUGCUCCAGCAGAUCUCAAGUAAGUCGUAGCUCCGUGGAUUGUGAGUGGGGGCACUGCCACCUGACCUGGUUAGCCCGGUCACACAGGGCCAUUAGUGUCUCCGGUGUGAGCACAGUACAGGAGGUGGGGGGGGGCCAGGAUCAAUGCAUAUAAAGCCCUGGGCUCAGACCCCACCUGGCUAAGUGGAUCCCCCCACUCUGUGCUUCCAAGUCUGGUCUGCCAGGGAGCGGGAGUCGGCAAACCCUCCUGCCUGUCACUCUGCCACUCGCCGUGUUUUCAGGCCUUGGAUUAGAUUAAAAUGAACAUGGACCGCACAGGUAUGUUUUAUGGGUUCUCUUAAACUAUACCCCCAAAAAGCUGCUAAAAAUAAAAAUUAAUGAAAUGUUGUUUUAAAAGUUGCUGAAAACACAGUAGCUUUUGAUGUCACAUAUUUACUCAAUCAGUGAAUUCUAAAAGUCCGACUACUACUGUGCGUGGAGAAGGAGACUGUUCUCUUCACUCCCCGAUGUUAUCCACGGGGCUCUCAGGAGUCUGUACUGACGGCUUGUGGACACGUGCACACCUCACUCUCCUGCACACCACCGAGAGGCUUAUGGAGAAGGAUGAUGCCAGGCUCCUGCGAUGCCUGCCGUCCCAUAAGGCUUGCCUCAUUGGACCUUGUCAAGGGCUGUGCCAGCAAAGGCUGGAACCCCUGUCUUGCCCAGCCAAGUGACUCCAGGCCUGGAAAAGCAGGGCAGCCUGAUGCAGGUGGAAAGGGGCCUGGCGCACUCCCUCGGCCCUGCCUUGCUCUCUCUGGUCUCCCUGCAACACUUAGGGUCAAUGCCUCUUCUUCUCCAGGGCCCCGGUAUUCCCUCCAGUGAGCCAUGGAAAAAGAGCCCUCCUCCCCCAGAUAGCCAGGUCUGUCCAAGUUACUAAAUUGGAGGCUGGGAACGAUCUGCGAAUGCAGGACGAGGACAUAGAGACACAAUCUUAGCAACAAAGUUGCCCCAGGGACAGGAGCUGUAAUUAUGGCUGAAAAGGGGCAGGGGUGGAGCCAACAUCUGGCAGUGCCCACCACAGACCAACUAGGCUAAAGACCUCCUCGUGGGAUUUCAUUUCCUCCCUGCUCACAACAAACGAGGGAGGGCUGUGAGCCUCCUAGAUAGUCUGGGAAACUGAGGCUCCGAGGGGUGUGGUGACUUGAUGGAGGUCACAUCACCCUCCUGGAGAGGUGCAGAGCCAGGUCCGUUGUGCCUCCCUCUACAUCUCUGCCCUUAAGACGUUUUCCACAACAUCGCCCCCACCAUAUACCCAGACAGAGCUCACACAG